GACGAACGCUGGCGGCGUGCUUAACACAUGCAAGUCGAACGGAAAGGCCCAGCUUGCUGGGUGCUCGAGUGGCGAACGGGUGAGUAACACGUGGGUGAUCUGCCUCUAACUUCGGGAUAAGCUUGGGAAACUGGGUCUAAUACCGGAUAGGACAAUCGUUUAGUGUCGGUUGUGGAAAGUUUUUCCGGUUAGGGAUGAGCCCGCGGCCUAUCAGCUUGUUGGUGGGGUAAUGGCCUACCAAGGCGUCGACGGGUAGCCGGCCUGAGAGGGUGGACGGCCACAUUGGGACUGAGAUACGGCCCAGACUCCUACGGGAGGCAGCAGUGGGGAAUAUUGCACAAUGGGCGCAAGCCUGAUGCAGCGACGCCGCGUGGGGGAUGACGGCCUUCGGGUUGUAAACCUCUUUCGACAGGGACGAAGCUUUGGUGACGGUACCUGUAUAAGAAGCACCGGCUAACUACGUG
rnacentral:rRNA from 1 species